rnacentral:rRNA from 1 species
GAUGAACGCUGGCGGCGUGCCUAAUACAUGCAAGUCGAGCGAACAGACGAUGAGCUUGCUCCUCUGACGUUAGCGGCGGACGGGUGAGUAACACGUGGAUAACCUACCUAUAAGACUGGGAUAACUUCGGGAAACCGGAGCUAAUACCGGAUAAUAUAUUGUACCGCAUGGUUCAAUAGUGAAAGACGGUUUUGCUGUCACUUAUAGAUGGAUCCGCGCCGCAUUAGCUAGUUGGUAAGGUAACGGCUUACCAAGGCAACGAUGCGUAGCUGACCUGAGAGGGUGAUCGGCCACACUGGAACUGAGACACGGUCCAGACUCCUACGGGAGGCAGCAGUGGGGAAUCUUCGACAAUGGGCGAAAGCUUGACGCAGCAACACCGCGUGGGUGAAGAAGGCCUUCGGGUUGUAAAGCUCUUUUGUUGGGAAAGAAAAAAAGUAGAUGAAUACAUCGCUGUUUUGACGGUACCUAAAGAAAAAGCAACGGCUAACUUCGUG